AUUCGCCGGAGAUGGCAAGUAAACUAGUGGUUCUGUGCGCAAUACUACACAAUAUCGCGGUAAGGAGUAGCGUAGAGCUUCCUCAGACAGAGGAAUUGCCUGAUGAGGAGCCAGGGGUUGUUCGACACUUCGGUGGGGGGAGUGUUACACGGAGGGGGAGCCAAGUCAGGGCAAGCAUUGUUGCUGAAUAUUUCAGCUGAAUGAUCACACAAACUGUGGACGAGAACAACGGCAGACCUCUCAGCCCCCUUCCCCUUCCCAGUCCCCCUCCCCUUCUCACUCCCCCUCCCCUUCGCAGUCCUCCUCAGCUUCCCAGUCCCCCUCAGCUACCCAGUCCCCCUCAGCUUCCCAGUCCCCCUCAGCUACCCAGUCCCCCUCAGCUUCCCAGUCCCCCUCAGCUUCCCAGUCCCCCUCAGCUUCCCAGGCCCACUCCACUUUCCACUCCCCUUCUCACACCACCUCUCUAUCUCUUUCUGUGACCCCUUCUCCUCCUUCCCAUACCCCUUCUCCUUCAACUUCAAACUCACCUUCUCAGCCCCCCUCACCCUCUAUUGGCUUAACUUUCUCUCCGCCCCCCUCGCCCUCUCAAUCAGACCCACCCUCUGAAAUUACAUCCCCAAUCCAGCCUCCUUCCCCCAUCCAGCCUCCUUCCCCCAUCCCUCCUCCUUCCCCCAUCCCUCCUCCUUCCCCAAUCCCUCCUCCUUCCCCAAUCCCUCCUCCUUCCCCCAUCCAGCCGCCUUCCCCCAUCCAGCCGCAUUCCCCACCCAGUGAGUGGGCAGAAG